GGCGGAGACUACAGCCACUUUGGUAAGUGUACUUUGGGGGCAAGUUUAAAAUAGAACAGGAGAAAUUACAGAAAGGGGGGUCUCUAUAACACUUCCUAUGGGUUUUGCUAUAAUUAAGGAUAGAGCAACGUGAGAAAGAGAUGGAGAGGGUGGUGGAGAUGGGAGGAACAGCUGCAUGCUUUGUGCCAGUAUAACUGGUCUGCUGAAGAGGAACCAUGAUGUUGCCGGAGCAUGAGAGGACUUGCUAGAGGCACGUCCUGAGCAGCUGGUUCCCCUCACCAAGGCUGAGCAAGUGAAAAGGAGGGCACAGGGCAGGCCAGUAGUGAGCAGCAACAAGGAACUAAGACAGCAGAAACCACUCUUCACACCUGGGUUGAAAGGGGUGGGGAGCCAGGACUACAGCUCAGGAAGGAUCCAGUUCAGACAGGAGCACCCAAUAUUCAGAAGAGAAGAACAUGGUGUAAAGGUCCUGGGAAGGCUGAGAGGAUUGGGACUCAGAAUCCAGAGCAGAAGCCGUCUGUGAACAGAAGAAGGACCUCCCCCAGUGUAGCAAGAGGGAGGGAGGAGGGACAGAUGCCAAGAUGGUUCAGGAAGAAGGUUUGGUGGUAAAUGUGAGGCUGUGCUCACCUGCUGGCUUCAAUUUUCUCUUUAAAAUGUCAGAUGGAAUCAUUUGAUGAAGGCCAUGCCAUGCAAUGAAAUGGCAGUCUGAGGCAUGGAGCAGCUCCAGCUUAGCCCGUGUUUAGGGUAAUUAUGGCUCCAACCCAGGAGAUGAAUAUGACUAGGGAAAGUGAAGUCCAAAAACAAAUGGUCUCAAGUUGACUGUGAGUCUUCUGGGAGGCUGAGACGACAGGUGGG
rnacentral:lncRNA from 1 species